rnacentral:rRNA from 1 species
UAACGAGUUAGGGUCUCUCUGGCCCGACCUCCCAACCCUUUGUCUACUUGACCAUCGUUGCUUCGGCGAGCCCGUCCUCACGGACCGCCGGAGGGAUCUUUACUGGCCCUCUGGUCCGCGCUCGUCGGUAGCCCAACCUUUAAAAUCUUUAACUAAACGUGCCUUAAUCUAAGUACAAUUAUUAAAUAAAAGCAAAACUUUCAACAACGGAUCUCUUGGUUCUGGCAUCGAUGAAGAACGCAGCGAAAUGCGAUAAGUAAUGCGAAUUGCAGAAUUCCAGUGAGUCAUCGAAUCUUUGAACGCACAUUGCGCCCUUUGGUAUUCCGAAGGGCAUGCCUGUUCGAGCGUCAUUAUCACCCCUCAAGCCCUCGGCUUGGUGUUGGACGGUUUGGUGGAGGCCCCCUCGGGGGUUCCUGCCCCUCCCAAAGACAAUGACGGCGGCCUCGUUGGACCCCCGGUACACUGAGUUCUUCACGGGACACGUAUCGGACACAUGGGUUUACGGGACACGGUCUGCCUCCCCUCAGGGAGAAUCUUUCUAAGGUUGACCUCGGAUCAGGUAGGGAUACCCGCUGAACUUAAGCAUAUCAAUAAGCGGAGGAAAAGAAACCAACAGGGAUUGCCUCAGUAACGGCGAGUGAAGCGGCAACAGCUCAAAUUUGAAAUCUGGCCUCUUUGGGG